AUUGAACGCUGGCGGUAUGCUUAACACAUGCAAGUCGAACGGUAACGGUCCUUCGGGAGCCGACGAGUGGCGGACGGGUGCGUAACGCGUAGGAAUCUGCCUGUUAGUGGGGGACAACGUGGGAAACUCACGCUAAUACCGCAUACGCCCUGAGGGGGAGAGCGGGGGCUCUUCGGACCUCGCGCUAACAGAUGAGCCUGCGUUGGAUUAGCUAGUUGGUAGGGUAAAGGCCUACCAAGGCGACGAUCCAUAGCUGGUCUGAGAGGACGAUCAGCCACACUGGGACUGAGACACGGCCCAGACUCCUACGGGAGGCAGCAGUGGGGAAUAUUGGACAAUGGGCGCAAGCCUGAUCCAGCAAUACCGCGUGUGUGAAGAAGGCCUGAGGGUUGUAAAGCACUUUCAAUGGGGAGGAAUAGCGAUGAGUUAAUACCUGAUCGUGUGACAUUGCCCAUACAAGAAGCACCGGCUAACUCCGUGCCAGCAGCCGCAGUAACAC
rnacentral:rRNA from 1 species